CGACCUUCCGAUGCCCGGGCCCGGGCCCCAGCCACGAGCCGUGCCGCUGCUUCUGGGCGUUAGGCGCUUACCGUGGGCCGGGCACCGUAGUGAGCGCCGGGGGGUGAGGUCCACCGGUCACUGCCCUGCGUCCUUAGCCGGCGGUGUCCGGCUGGGGAACCCUGUCCUUUCCCCAGUGAGUCUCCCGUGGCCCUUGGCCCUCCAGGAAGCGGAGCUGACCCUGGUGGACAGGACAGCCUGCGAGAGGACCUACCUCCAAAUCUUUGGGCUCCAGCCCUCCUACAGGCCCGUCGUCACCAAGGACAAGAUCUGUGCCGGAGACACCCCAAGGGGCUGAAGAACCCCUGCAGAGGCCGCCCUGCGCCAAGCCUGGGGCCGGCGACCGGGGCGGAGGCGCGACGGCGAGAGGAGGUGGCACGGCGGGACACUCACCGACGGACAGGACGAAGAGGGCGAAUAUGCCGACCACCUGCCACAGCCUCAUCCCCCAGAAGACCACCGUCUCCGAGAGGAGGGAACCGAGGCCUAGAGCAGCCAAGCGACCGG